CAAUACGAGGAAAAGAAGCCCAACCCACCUGCUCCUACGAUCCCGUCCCCUAUCCUUCGAACAGCAUGACGCCGCAACCACCGCCUCCCUCCCUGGCUCGCGCCGCCGCCGGGCCCCGGCCACAAAUCGCACUGCCUCCCUACCCCGACCUUCAACCGCGCCGCCGCUGCGUCCUCCCUCCCGUGCCGCCACCGCCACCACCCUCCCCACCUCGCCACCAACCGGCGCCCCGCCGCACCCCCGACCCCAACCGGAGACACCGCCUCACCUCCUUCCCGGAUUCCGCGGCAUCGUCCCCCACACGCUGCCGCUGACGACGGGAGCAACCACCGGUGCGGGUUGCUCCACCACCUACUGGCCUUCACCGCUCCCCUCCACCAGCAUCGGCCCCACCCCAGCCAUCGAGCGUCGGCGUCCCCCAUCUCCCUCCACCUUCCUCUGCGCGUGAUGGACGCAUGGCACGGGACCGUGAGCUCACCGGAUUCCUUCCCCCUACAGCCAGCGCCACCACCUACAUCCGGCGCCAUAGUCGUCCAGGUCGUUCACCUUCGCCGCCUCAGGCCAUGCAACUCCGCCCGUGUGAGUGCGCGCCGCACCUCCGCAGCUUCUCCGCUUCGAGAUGGCAGGUGUAAAACACUCGUGAUUUUGGUCCAUUGUUUUCAGUUUCACAAGCCGCAGCCCAUGCGCCGCCCCCAACCCGCCCCAACCGAUGAUGCCGCUUCUGCCCUGCCCCCAACCGGCAAUGCCGCCGCAGUCCCGCCCCCAAUCGAGCACCGCCCCUGCUCCUUCAGGCGAAGGGCCCUGUCUCGCGUGCCUUGUUCCACUAGCCACCGGCUCCGUCCGCCGUCCUUUCUCUCCUGAACUUCUUCUCCGUCGGCAGGGACGAGCAGGGAGCUGUCAUCCAUGUCGUCCUCAGCCACCAUCAGCUUGGGAAAAACAGUUAAUUGCUGACGCAUAGGUCCAACGCCGAACCAGGCAAAUGUGCGGCUGAAGAAGUUCAAACAAGGGGCGCGGAGCAGCUGGAGGUCAGCAAGCAUGGGGGUGAAGCUAAAAUGGAGCAAACGCAAUCUUUGCGCAGUGGCGCACAAGCCCUGAGCAGCGACCACGCAUGAUGCGAGCAGCUUGAGAAGCAAUAAUACUACUAGAGACGGAAUCUCGAGAUGACUGAAGUCCAACUGUUGCGUUGGACAAGGUCCAUCAAAUUCGUGGUUGACAAAUUCAACCCUCUCAGGUUGUGCCUAUUAUUUUUAAUAUAUCUCAAAGAUGAAUGCAUAUUCCAUUAAAAAAAUGAAUGCAUGUAUUGACGAGAAUACCUCCAGGAAAUUCAAACAUUCGUGGUUCACUUA